rnacentral:snoRNA from 1 species
AAGACUAUACUUUCAGGGAUCGUUUCUUUAGUUUGUUGCUAGAGGUCACCGAAAACGACAAGGAGGAGGCUCAGUGCUCUCUCCUGAGCAUGAAACUGGCUCUAGCUGUUGCUUUCUUGCAACUGCCUAUUCCUACCUUCCAGGAGUAAGAGAGAGAUAGUGCAGUCUGAGUGGC